rnacentral:tRNA from 1 species
AUGAUGUUAGCUCAAAUGGUAAGAGUACAUGACUGCUAAUCAUGCUGUUGCCGGUUCGACUCCGGUACAUC